UGUCUGACUAGAAAUGGAACAUUAUACUUCUGUGUUGGGGCCUUUGCUGUGUACAACUGAUAUUAGUGAUUUAGGAAUGGAGAAAGAAAUUAAUGUCUCCAAAUUUGCAGGAAAGCUUCACAACCAACUCCUUAAAUCUUGCCCAGUACCACAUUUUAAUUGAAGUGUGAUAUAGCCAAGUGCUAAAAGGAAGUACAACUCCAUCCAUCAAGGGAAUUUGUAGAGAUGGAAGAGAUGAUUAAUCCCACCUCAUCUGAUGAUAACAGUCAAAAUGACAAUAGAAAGGAGUGUAGUAGAGCCAGUUGAGGUAAAGGUGCCAAUAUUUCCUGAGUCUUUCAAAGGACAUGGUUGCCUGCAACAUUGGGACCACUGCAAUUAACUGCAGCAGCCGGCAUAGCUGAGAACAUUGAUAAUAAACACACUUUACUGCUUGUCUCCCUUCUCAAUACCCAACAAUCUUUAUUCUGCUAUCUGGCCUGAUGAGCAAGCUUUGGAUGGUGUGUCCAUGCAUCUCCUGUUUCCCACCUCA